rnacentral:rRNA from 1 species
AUUGAACGCUGGCGGCAUGCCUUACACAUGCAAGUCGAACGGUAACAGCUUAAGCUGACGAGUGGCGAACGGUAGCGUAAUGUAACGUACCCUCCCCAUCCGUGUGGGAUAACUGCUCUAAAGAUCAUCUAAUACCGCAUCCGACCUGAGGGUGUAUGCGGGGGAUCGCAAGACCUGGCUCGAUUUGAGCGGUCGAUAUCAUAUUAGGUAGUUGGGGAGGCAAAGGGUCACUAAGCUGACGAUCUGUAGCUGGUCUCAGAGGGAGAACAGCCACACUGGGAGUGAGACACGGCCCAGACUCCGACGGGGAGCAGCAGUGGGGAAUUUUGGACGAGGGGCGAAAGGCUGAUACAGCCAAGCCGGGUGCAGGAAGAAGGACUUCGGGUUGGAAAGCGAUUUUGUCAGGGAAGAAAAAGAUCUGGCUAACACCUGGGGAUAAUGACGGUACCUGAAGAAUAAGCACCGGCUAACUACGUG